rnacentral:tRNA from 1 species
GCCUGGGUGGCUCAGCGGUUGAGCAUCUGCCUUUGGCUCAGGUUGUGAUCCUGGGGUCCUGGGAUCGAGUCCCACAUCAGGCU